CUUCAAAGAGGAUGAAGAGGAUCCCAUCUAGAUCUCUUUCAGAAGGGAAGCCAGACUCCUUUAGAGAGCUCACCAUGGCCUGGCCUCUGUUUUUCCUGGCACUUCUCAGCUACUCCUCAAGUAAAUCCCCCACAAUUGUCUUUGGAUGCUUGUUUUUAUUUUUUCUGCUUUAACUUUUUGCUUUUGUUUUUAUAUUGUUGUAAACCAAUGUGAUUUUUAUUAUUAUUAUGAUACAGUGGAAUAUAGUUUUUUAUAAAUGAAUGAAUGAAUGAAUGCAUGGAGGACUCGGUGAACAUAGGCCAAUAUCAAGUCCCUUUUAACUAUGUACUCAUUAUAGGAACAUAAUGUUUUUGUGAUAUUUUUGUAACUUAACAAAGUCUUGAUUUGUUUCCUGUGUCUUUUGUAAAGAUAUCUCUUCGCAACCAACAGUCACCCAGCCUGCUUCUUCAUCUGUCGCCCUCGGCCAAACAGCUAAACUCUCCUGCACAGCCAGUAAUGGUGGGAGCUGGUACAACUAUCAGUGGCAUCAACAGAAACCUGGACAGGCUCCUCGCUUGUUGCUCUAUGGGACCAGCAGGGGAGAUGGGAUCCCAGAUCGGUUCACUGCAUCUUCCUCUGCAAACCCUUACUACUUAACCAUCUCCAACACCCAGGCUGAAGAUGAGGCAGUUUAUUACUGUCUUGCUUGGGAGAACAGCAAUGACAUGU